CUGUUAAGAUCGGCUUAUAGUGGCCCACGAAAUUAGAAAAGUGGCUGAUCAUCUAGAUAACUGAAUAACAAUGGACGGAGUAUAAAUGAGCGGGUAACGCCUAGAAGAGAAGUCUUUGUCCUGCGAAAAGAAGACCACUUUCAAUUCUACGCAUUUUCUUCGCUUUUUAGGAGUAGCUUACUUAUAAUCUGUCACGCCCCGGGGCCAGGCGUAGGCCCGCCCGGUGUGUGCCCAGACCCGCCAUAUGCCUGCACAUAUAAGCCGUUUACAACAAAAGCGAUAAAUAAACAUGUGAUACCAACAUCUAGAGAUAUCAGAGCGAGUAUAUAACUAGGUUCUAUCAACAAGUAGAAUCAAAAGAGACUAAACCACUAAAGUAAAAAGUAAAAUAAUACAACCCAAAUCUCAUGAUACAUAUAAUGGGUGGUCUCUACAAAAUGGUACAAGUCUCUCAACCUCUCCAAAAAGAAACAAAAGAGAGGUAGACCACCUAUCGACAAAUCCCUCGCUAGCUAGCCCGAGGCGAUUCCCUUCCCGCAAUCCCGAGCCUCUCCCGGAGUGGAAGGCUCUGUAAGAAAACAUAAAACAGGGGG
rnacentral:lncRNA from 1 species